rnacentral:rRNA from 1 species
AGUGAACGCUGGCGGUAGGCCUGACACAUGCAAGUCGAACGGCAGCACAGUAAGAGCUUGCUCUUACGGUUGGCGAGUGGCGGACGGGUGAGGAAUACAUCGGAAUCUACUUUUUCGUGGGGGAUAACGUAGGGAAACUUACGCUAAUACCGCAUACGACCUACGGGUGAAAGCAGGGGAUCUUCGGACCUUGCGCGAUUGAAUGAGCCGAUGUCGGAUUAGCUAGUUGGCGGGGUAAAGGCCCACCAAGGCGACGAUCCGUAGCUGGUCUGAGAGGAUGAUCAGCCACACUGGAACUGAGACACGGUCCAGACUCCUACGGGAGGCAGCAGUGGGGAAUAUUGGACAAUGGGCGCAAGCCUGAUCCAGCCAUACCGCGUGGGUGAAGAAGGCCUUCGGGUUGUAAAGCCCUUUUGUUGGGAAAGAAAAGCAGCAGGUUAAUACCCCGCUGUUCUGACGGUACCCAAAGAAUAAGCACCGGCUAACUUCGUG